GACGAACGCUGGCGGCGUGCCUAAUACAUGCAAGUAGAACGCAGUUGCGAACGGGUGAGUAACGCGUCGGUAACUGCCUGGGAGCGGGGGAUAACUAUUGGAAACGAUAGCUAAUACCGCAUACUACCAGAUGGACCUGCGUUGUAUUAGCUAGUUGGUGCGGUAACGGCUUACCAAGGCAACGAUACAUAGCCGAGCUGGAAGGGAGAUCGGCCAAACUGGGACUGAGACACGGCCCAGAAUCCUACGGGAGGCAGCAGUAGGGAAUCUUCGGAAAUGGGGGGAACCCUGACCGAGCAACGCCGCGGGAGUGAAGAAGGUUUUCGGAUCGUAAAGCUCUGUUGUUAAGGAAGCGGUACUUAACCAGAAAGGGACGGCUAACUACGUGCCAGCAGCCGCGGUAAGUC
rnacentral:rRNA from 1 species